UACGGAGGGAGCUAGCGUUGUUCGGAAAUACUGGGCGUAAAGCGCACGUAGGCGGCGCCGUAAGUCAGGGGUGAAAUCCCGGGGCUCAACCCCGGAACUGCCCUUGAAACUGCAGUGCUAGAAUCUUGGAGAGGCGAGUGGAAUUCCGAGUGUAGAGGUGAAAUUCGUAGAUAUUCGGAAGAACACCAGUGGCGAAGGCGACUCGCUGGACAAGUAUUGACGCUGAGGUG
rnacentral:rRNA from 1 species